GUGCUCGCUUCAGCAGCACAUACACUAAAAUUGGAACGAUACAGAGAUUAGCAUGGCCCCUGUGCAAGGAUGACACGCAAAUUCGUGAAGUGUUCCAUAUUUUU
ensembl:snRNA U6 U6 spliceosomal RNA